rnacentral:rRNA from 1 species
UACGAAGGGUGCAAACGUUGCUCGGAAUUAUUGGGCGUAAAGCGCACGUAGGCGGCUUCUUAAGUCAGGGGUGAAAUCCUGGAGCUCAACUCCAGAACUGCCUUUGAUACUGAGGAGCUUGAGUCCGGGAGAGGUGAGUGGAACUGCGAGUGUAGAGGUGAAAUUCGUAGAUAUUCGCAAGAACACCAGUGGCGAAGGCGGCUCACUGGCCCGGUACUGACGCUGAGGUGCGAAAGCGUGGGGAGCAAACAGG